rnacentral:rRNA from 1 species
AGAUUAGCCAUGCAUGUCUAAGUACAGGCCUCAUUAAGGUGANACCGCGAAUGGCUCAUUAAAUCACACCUAAUAUACUGGAUAGUAUCAGUUACUUGGAUAACUGCGGUAAUUCUGGAGCUAAUACAUGCGUCCAAGCCCCGAACUUACGUGAGGGGCGCUUUUAUUAGAUCAAAACCAAACGGCUUCGGCCGUCAUUCUGGUGAUUCUGAAUAACUUUGGGCUGAUCGCACGGCUUCAUGCCGGCGACGUAUCUUUCUAAGGUGUGCCCUAUCAACUGUCGACUGUGACAUAGACGCUCACAGUGGUGAUGACGGGUAACGGGGAAUCAGGGUUCGAUUCCGGAGAGGGAGCCUGAGAAACGGCUACCACUUCUACGGAAGGCAGCAGGCACGCAAAUUACCCACUGGUCGAAGACCGAGGUAGUGACGAAAAAUAACGAUAUCGGACUCAUCCGAGGCCCGAUAAUCGGAAUGAGUACACUUUAAAACCUUUAACGAGGACCCAUUGGAGGGCAAGUCUGGUGCCAGCAGCCGCGGUAAUUCCAGCUCCAAUAGCGUAUAUUAAAGUUGUUGCGGUUAAAAAGCUCGUAGUUGGAUCUCGGCGGGUAGGGGGCGGUUCGUUAUCUGACGCUACUGCCCCAUUUACCCGUGUUUUUGACGGAGGUUUCAGGGUGCUCUUAACCGAGUGUCCUGGGAUGCCGUCAGGUUUACUUUGAAAAAAUUAGAGUGCUCAAAGCAGGCUUUAUACGCUUGAAUAUUCGUGCAUGGAAUAAUGGAAUAGGACGUCGCUUCUAUUUGUUNCUUU